ACCCUCGCUUCCUUUCAAAGCGCAUAAAUCUUUCGCCUUUUACCAAAGAUUUCCGUGGAGAGGAGUAACAGAGAAACUGAAGGCAAUUUUUGAUUAGAGAAGCAGCGUGGCUCAG